GGAGACUCAUGGGGUACUGGUGGCCCCCCCGGGCUUCAAACCCGUGUGUGACGGGCUAAAUCCCCGUUGGGUAGGUUCGAUUCCUACGGGUCUCCGCCA
rnacentral:tRNA from 1 species